rnacentral:rRNA from 1 species
GUCCACGCUGUAAACGAUGAUGACUAACAGUCGGCGAUACACUGUCGGUGGCCAAGCGAAAGCGAUAAGUCAUCCACCUGGGGAGUACGACCGCAAGGUUGAAACUCAAAGGAAUUGACGGGGGCCCGCACAAGCGGAGGAACAUGUGGUUUAAUUCGAUGAUACGCGAGGAACCUUACCCGGGCUCGAACGGCAGGGGAAUCAUCCAGAGAUGGAUGAGUCUUCGGACUCCUGUCGAGGUGCUGCAUGGUUGUCGU